CCUGCUCUUUCUAAACUUCAUUUUCUUUCAAUUUCCAGGAGGGGACCAAGUCUCUGUGGCAGUUUCCUGAUCUUCUGGAUAUGCUGCCAUGCUGUCCCAAGGCUGGUGGUGUCCCCUGACUUGUUCCUCUCCUGACUUUCUCAGCCUGGAGACUGAAAGCUCUCUUUGACUGUUGGCCCUCCCAGGCAGAGUCCACCGGCUGUUAGGGUGAAAUGGGGCUGAUGCUUCCUGGAAUCCACCAGAAGUAUGCAAAUUGCACCAUCUCUUUCAGCUGCCUGCGCCUGCAUUCCAUCGAAGAUUCCUGUAAGAAGAAACCAUCCUGUUCCUCUUUACAGGAUCUUGCUGUCGCCCAGGCUGCAGUGCAGUGGCUCGAAUGAAUGAGCCCCUCCGCAUUCCCUUUCCCCUUCUGUGGCUUGCUGCAGAUGAUGACAAGGCCCAAAGGGCUGGUGAUAGCCACAGUGACCUUGGAGGCUGCUGUGGAGGAUUGUGGAGGAUUUAACCGUUCUCCCCAGGCUGUCACAUGAAAAAUAAACCAACUUCUUGUGUUUUUGGUCCCCAAA